ACUACGGGUGGCAGCAGUGGGGAAUAUUGCACAAUGGGCGCAAGCCUGAUGCAGCCAUGCCGCGUGUGUGAAGAAGGCCUUCGGGUUGUAAAGCACUUUCAGCGGGGAGGAAGGCGUUAAGGUUAAUAACCUUGACGAUUGACGUUACCCGCAGAAGAAGCACCGGCUAACUCCGUGCCAGCAGCCGCGGUAAUACGGAGGGUGCAAGCGUUAAUCGGAAUUACUGGGCGUAAAGCGCACGCAGGCGGUCUGUCAAGUCGGAUGUGAAAUCCCCGGGCUCAACCUGGGAACUGCAUUCGAAACUGGCAGGCUAGAGUCUUGUAGAGGGGGGUAGAAUUCCAGGUGUAGCGGUGAAAUGCGUAGAGAUCUGGAGGAAUACCGGUGGCGAAGGCGGCCCCCUGGACAAAGACUGACGCUCAGGUGCGAAAGCGUGGGGAGCAAACAGGAUUAGAUACCCCUGUAGUC
rnacentral:rRNA from 1 species